AGACAGCUAGGAUGUUGGCUUGGAAGCAGCCAUUCAUUUAAAGAGUGCGUAACAGCUCACUAGUCGAGCGGUUUGGCGUGGAUAAUAAUCGGGCAUAAGUAUAUUACCGAAGCUAUGGAAUUGUACAAUGUACAAUUGGUAGGGGAGCAUUCCAUACCGCGUAGAAGGCGUAAGGACAACUUACUCUGGAGCGUAUGGAAAAGCAAAUGUAGGAAUAAGUAACGAUAAGGGGAGCGAGAAACUCCCCCGCCGGAAGACUAAGGUUUCCUGAUCAACGCUAAUCGGAUCAGGGUUAGUCGGGGCCUAAGGUAUAGCCGAAUGGCGAAGCCGAUGGAAGAAACGGUUAAUAUUCCGUUACUACUGUAUAGAGUGAAGUGGGGACGCAGAAGUGAAAGUCCUGCCAACUGACGGAAUAGUUGGUUAAAGGGUGUAGAUUAUGAGAGACGUAGGCAAAUCCGCGUUUUGAGUCGAACCUGAUAGUACCAUGAGCACUUGUGCAAAUGGAUAUGGAUGUAAUCAGACUGCCAAGAAAAUCCGCUAAACGUUAAUCUAUAUAGUACUCGUACCACAAACGGACACACGUGGUCAAGUAUAGCGUACUAAGGCGCUCGAGUGAUUCACAGCUAAGGAACUAGGCAAAAUAGCCCCGUAACUUCGGGAGAAGGGGCGCUUCCUCAUGUUGAAUGAGAAGCCGCAGUGAAAUGGCCCAGGCGACUGUUUAUCAAAAACAUAGGGCUUUGCAAAAUCGAAAGAUGACGUAUAAGGCCUGACACCUGCCCGGUGCUGGAAGGUUAAGAGGAGAUGUUAUCGCAAGAGACGCAUUGAAUUGAAGCCCCAGUAAACGGCGGCCGUAACUAUAACGGUCCUAAGGUAGCGAAAUUCCUUGUCGGGUAAGUUCCGACCUGCACGAAUGGUGUAACGAUCUGGGCACUGUCUCAGCUGUGAGCUCGGUGAAAUUGUAGUAUCGGUGAAGAUGCCGAUUACCCGCAACGGGACGGAAAGACCCCGUGAACCUUUACUGCAACUUAACACUGAAUUUGGGUAAUUGAUGUGUAGGAUAGGCCGGAGACUAUGAAGCGGGCACGCUAGUGUUUGUGGAGUCAUCCUUGAAAUACGGCCCUUCAAUUAUUUGAGUUCUAAUUCCUGUAAAGGAAGACAAUGUUUGGUGGGUAGUUUGACUGGGGUGGUCGCCUCCAAAAGUGUAACGGAGGCUUCCAAAGGUGCGCUCAGCAUGAUUGGUAACCAUGCGUAGAGUAUAAUGGUAUAAGCGCGCUUGACUGAGAGACCGACAAGUCGAUCAGGUAGGAAACUAGGGCAUAGUGAUCCGGUGGUUCCGCAUGGAAGGGCCAUCGCUCAAAGGAUAAAAGGUACUCCGGGGAUAACAGGCUGAUCAUUCCCAAGAGCUCAUAUCGACGGAAUGGUUUGGCACCUCGAUGUCGGCUCGUCACAUCCUGGGGCUGGAGAAGGUCCCAAGGGUUGGGCUGUUCGCCCAUUAAAGUGGCACGCGAGCUGGGUUCAGAACGUCGUGAGACAGUUCGGUCCCUAUCUGUUGUGGGCGCAGGAAAUUUGCGAAGGUCUGACACUAGUACGAGAGGACCGUGUUGGACGAACCUCUGGUCUAUGGGUUGUUCCGCCAGGAGCACUGCCCAGUAGCUACGUUCGGUUAGGAUAAGUGCUGAAAGCAUCUAAGCACGAAGCCAUCUUCAAGAUUAGAUUUCCAUUGAGGGUCGUCGAAGACUACGACGUUGAUAGGUCAUAGGUGUAUAACAGAAAUGUAGAGCCGAGUGAUACUAAUUGCCCGAUAGCUUUUUUUG
rnacentral:rRNA from 1 species